rnacentral:rRNA from 1 species
AGUUUUAGGACUAGCCUUGUUUAGUAGUAUGUGGGGGUAGAGCACUGAAUGAGCUAGGGGCCAAACCAGGUUACUGAACUCUAUCAAACUCCGAAUACCAUGUACGUAAGAACAGGAGUCAGACUGCGGGAGCUAAGUUCCGUGGUCAAAAGGGAAAGAGCCCAGAUCGUCAAUUAAGGUCCCAAAGAUAUAGUUAAGUGGAAAACGAUGUGAUUUUGCGUAAACAACCAGGAUGUUGGCUUAGAAGCAGCCAUUCAUUUAAAGAGUGCGUAAUAGCUCACUGGUCGAGUGGAGUUGCGCGGAAAAUUACCGGGGCUAAACUAUACACCGAAAUUGCGGAUUCAUGAGUAAUCAUGAGUGGUAGAGGAGCAUUCUAUAGUAGGACGAAGGUAGAUCGAAAGGACUGCUGGACGAGAUAGAAGAGAGAAUGCCGGAAUAAGUAGCGAAAGCAUGGUGAGAAUCCAUGCCAUCGAAAGUCUAAGGUUUCCUGGGGAAGGUUCGUCCGCCCAGGGUAAGUCGGGACCUAAGGAGAGGCCGAAAGGCGUAUCUGAUGGACAGCAGGUAGAAAUUCCUGCACCACCGAUAUACUUAAAAAAUGCAAGGGACACAGUAGUGGAAGGAAAGCGAGGAAGAGGAAAGACUCGUAUCGAAAGAUAUAGUGAAAAAAUAAGUAACGAAUUUCCAAGAAGCACACUGGCGAGAAAAGCUUGUAGGAAUUGUAUAAAGGUGCCCGUACCGCAAACCGACACAGGUAGAUGAGGAGAGGAUCCUAAGAUGAGCGAGAGAAGCAUUGUUAAGGAACUCGGCAAAUUGACCCCGUAACUUAGGGAGAAGGGGUGCCAAAGUAAAAUUUGGUCGCAGAGAAGAGGCCCAAGCAACUGUUUAACAAAAACACAGGUUUCUGCUAAAUCGAAAGAUGAAGUAUAGGAGCUGACGCCUGCCCAGUGCUGGAAGGUUAAGGGGAAGAGUUAGAUGUAAGUCGAAGCUUAGAACCAAAGCCCCAGUGAACGGCGGCCGUAACUAUAACGGUCCUAAGGUAGCGAAAUUCCUUGUCAGGUAAGUUCUGACCCGCACGAAAGGCGUAAUGAUUUGGGCGCUGUCUCGACAAUGUACUCGGCGAAAUUGUAGUACUAGUGAAGAUGCUAGUUACCUGCGACAAGACAGAAAGACCCCAUGGAGCUUUACUGUAGCUUGAUACUGGGUUUCGAUAAUUUAUGUACAGGAUAGGUGGGAGGCGAAGAAGCAAUUGCGCCAGCAGUUGUGGAGUCAUCCUUGGGAUACCACCCUUAAGUUAUUGAAAUUCUAACCUGUAGUCCUGAGCGGGCUAGGGGACAAUGUCAGGCGGGCAGUUUGACUGGGGCGGUCGCCUCCAAAAGAGUAACGGAGGCGCGCAAAGGUUUCCUCAGCGCGGACAGAAAUCGCGCGAAAGAGUGCAAAGGCAGAAGGAAGCUUAACUGAGAGACUGACAAGUCGACCAGAUACGAAAGUAGGUCUUAGUGAUCCGGCGGUAGUGAGUGGAAAUGCCGUCGCUCAACGGACAAAAGUUACCCUGGGGAUAACAGGCUUAUCUCCCCCAAGAGUUCACAUCGACGGGGAGGUUUGGCACCUCGAUGUCGGCUCAUCACAUCCUGGAGCGGAAGUACGUUCCAAGGGUUGGGCUGUUCGCCCAUUAAAGUGGUACGCGAGCUGGGUUCAGAACGUCGUGAGACAGUUCGGUCCUUAUCUGUCGCAGGCGAAGGAUAUUUGAGGGGAGUUGACCUUAGUACGAGAGGACCAGGUUGAACUUACCAAUGGUGUAUCAGUUGUCGUACCAACGGCACGGCUGAGUAGCUAAGUAGGGAAGGGAUAAACGCUGAAAGCAUCUAAGUGUGAAGCCCACCCCAAGAUAAGAUAUCCCAUACCGUAAGGUAGU